GCACUGCUGAGGAGUCCCACGACAGAACGAAAUGGCCAUCCAGUGC
rfam:Schistosoma mansoni strain Puerto Rico chromosome 4, complete genome